GGGAGAUUGGCCCUCAACUUUGUAUAGUCAAGUGCAACGACCAAGCCCAGCAAGAGAUGGUUCGCUUUCGUGGCUACCGGGAGCUGACUUACCUCCUUAAACGCACCAAGGCUUGGCUCAACGACCAGAUCCUGGUCGGAUUCGAACAGCACGACAACAAGGCCAGAAACGAAGCUUGCACUUUGAGAGAGCCCCAUCAUUUCGCCGCCGUGGCCGCCCAGCGUGUAUUAUUCGUCAGCAAGAAGCCGGCCGUCGGAGAGGUCUUCGAGAUCAGUCUCGGCGACAACACCCAGCACCAGGCGCCCAGUUUGGAGCUGGUCAGUAUAAACGGCCCUCAAGUUGUGGCUUUAAAGCGUCGAAGCCGAGCGUCGCGUCACCAAUGAAAUUGGAGUUCAUUCUACAUCUUACCAGAGGGCCUUCAGGUGCAGUCUCUUGUCUUCCAUCGUGAUGGUAUGGUCAGUUUUCCAGGUAUGUGUGUGUUGGAGCUACUUCAAGGAAGGCAAACAACACCAUUAUUCCUUUCAAAUAUUAUAGUUUAUUUCGAGCCUCAUAAGUUCAGAUACUUGAUUGAUUACUUACAGUGGUAGAUACCAUGCCUGGAAUUCCCUAAUUAGAAAAGGGUAACUUGCAACAUGCAAAGAAUCCUUUUUUCAUUUGCCUUUUUCUACCAAGUCAUCCUUUGAGCUAGAUAACUAGAAAUCGAUCCUUUUCCAGUUUUAACUUGAGUCAAAAAAAUAUUCGGUACAAUUUC